rnacentral:rRNA from 1 species
UACGUAGGAUGCAAGCGUUGCUCGGAAUUAUUGGGCGUAAAGGGCGCGUAGGUGGCCUGGUAAGUCAUAGGUGAAAGCCCUCGGCUUAACUGAGGAAUUGCCCAUGAUACUGUCGGGCUUGAGUACGGGAGAGGGGGGUGGAAUUUCUGGUGUAGCGGUGAAAUGCGUAGAUAUCAGGAAGAACAUCUGUGGCGAAGGCGACCCCCUGGACCGAUACUGACACUGAGGCGCGAAAGCGUGGGGAGCAAACAGG